GUGGUUCAAGUUUUUGGAAAUUAUUCAAAGGGUGAACGUAACUUAUUUUGCCAAAAUUUGAUGAAAAUCAAACCAGUCAAAUUAAUUUUUGUCAAGGUGUUAGGUACCAUGUACCUAAAUCCAAUUACAAAAAUAAUAUGCAUUCUCAGGAUAAAGAAUGUUAUCCUCAUCUCCUGGGUUUUUCGUUGUAUUAUGAAUGCAUU
rnacentral:lncRNA from 1 species